rnacentral:rRNA from 1 species
CGAGCGGUAUUUGUUCUUCGGRCAGAGAGAGCGGCGUACGGGUGCGGAACACGUGUGCAACCUACCUUUAUCAGGGGGAUAGCCUUUCGAAAGGAAGAUUAAUACCCCAUAAUAUAUUGAUUGGCAUCAGUUAAUAUUGAAAACUCCGGUGGAUAGAGAUGGGCACGCGCAAGAUUAGAUAGUUGGUAGGGUAACGGCCUACCAAGUCAGUGAUCUUUAGGGGGCCUGAGAGGGUGAUCCCCCACACUGGUACUGAGACACGGACCAGACUCCUACGGGAGGCAGCAGUGAGGAAUAUUGGACAAUGGGUGAGAGCCUGAUCCAGCCAUCCCGCGUGAAGGACGACGGCCCUAUGGGUUGUAAACUUCUUUUGUAUAGGGAUAAACCUUUCCACGUGUGGAAAGCUGAAGGUACUAUACGAAUAAGCACCGGCUAACUCCGUGCCAGCAGCCGCGGUAAUACGGAGGGUGCAAGCGUUAUCCGGAUUUAUUGGGUUUAAAGGGUCCGUAGGCGGAUCUGUAAGUCAGUGGUGAAAUCUCAUAGCUUAACUAUGAAACUGCCAUUGAUACUGCAGGUCUUGAGUAAAGUAGAAGUGGCUGGAAUAAGUAGUGUAGCGGUGAAAUGCAUAGAUAUUACUUAGAACACCAAUUGCGAAGGCAGGUCACUAUGUUUUAACUGACGCUGAUGGACGAAAGCGUGGGGAGCGAACAGGAUUAGAUACCCUGGUAGUCCACGCCGUAAACGAUGCUAACUCGUUUUUGGGCUUUAGGGUUCAGAGACUAAGCGAAGUGAUAAGUUAGCCACCUGGGGAGUACGUUCGCAAGAAUGAAACUCAAAGGAAUUGACGGGGGCCCGCACAAGCGGUGGAUUAUGUGGUUUAAUUCGAUGAUACGCGAGGAACCUUACCAAGGCUUAAAUGGGAAUUGACAGGUUUAGAAAUAGACUUUUCUUCGGACAAUUUUCAAGGUGCUGCAUGGUUGUCGUCAGCUCGUGCCGUGAGGUGUUAGGUUAAGUCCUGCAACGAGCGCAACCCCUGUCACUAGUUGCCAUCAUUCAGUUGGGGACUCUAGUGAGACUGCCUACGCAAGUAGAGAGGAAGGUGGGGAUGACGUCAAAUCAUCACGGCCCUUACGCCUUGGGCCACACACGUAAUACAAUGGCCAGUACAGAGGGCAGCUACCAGGCGACUGGAUGCGAAUCUCGAAAGCUGGUCUCAGUUCGGAUUGGAGUCUGCAACUCGACUCUAUGAAGCUGGAAUCGCUAGUAAUCGCAUAUCAGCCAUGAUGCGGUGAAUACGUUCCCGGGCCUUGUACACACCGCCCGUCAAGCCAUGGAAGUUUGGGGUACCUGAAGUCGGUGACC